rnacentral:rRNA from 1 species
AUUGAACGCUGGCGGCAGGCCUAACACAUGCAAGUCGAGCGGAUGAAGAGAGCUUGCUCUCUGAUUUAGCGGCGGACGGGUGAGUAAUGCCUAGGAAUCUGCCUGGUAGUGGGGGACAACGUUUCGAAAGGAACGCUAAUACCGCAUACGUCCUACGGGAGAAAGUGGGGGAUCUUCGGACCUCACGCUAUCAGAUGAGCCUAGGUACGAUUAGCUAGUUGGUGAGGUAAAGGCUCACCAAGGCGACGAUCGUUAACUGGUCUGAGAGGAUGAUCAGUCAAACUGGAACUGGGACACGGUCGAGACGCCUACGGGAGGCAGCAGUGGGGAAUAUUGGACAAUGGGCGAAAGCCUGAUCCAGCCAUGCCGCGUGUGUGAAGAAGGUCUUCGGAUUGUAAAGCACUCUAAGUUGGGAGGAAGGGCAGUAAGUUAAUACCUUGCUGUUUUGACGUUACCGACAGAAUAAGCACCGGCUAACUUCGUGCCAGCAGCCGCCGUAAAAC